AUGAAUUGCAUAAGUUGGAACUGCCGGGGAGGGAAUACCCGGACAGUUCGAGAGCUUGCGACUUUGUGCCAGUCGCAUUCCCCCAUGCUCGUGUUUUUGUGCGAAACAAGGCAAAAAGAAACUAAGAUGAGAAGAUACAGGAACCGAUUGGGUGUGAAAGGCUUUUGUGGUGUGGAUAGCAUUGGUAUGAGCGGUGGUCUUGCCCUAUAC
rnacentral:rRNA from 1 species